GACAGAGGAUGCAAGCGUUAUCCGGAAUGAUUGGGCGUAAAGCGUCUGUAGGUGGCUUUUUAAGUCCGCCGUCAAAUCCCAGGGCUCAACCCUGGACAGGCGGUGGAAACUACCAAGCUGGAGUGCGGUAGGGGAGACUGGAAUUCCUGGUGUAGCGGUGAAAUGCGCAGAUAUCAGGAGGAACACCGAUGGCGAAGGCAGGUCUCUGGGCCGAUACUGACGCUGAGGAGCGAAAGCGUGGGGAGCGAACAGG
rnacentral:rRNA from 1 species